rnacentral:rRNA from 1 species
UGGGGAAUUUUGCGCAAUGGGCGAAAGCCUGACGCAGCAAUGCCGCGUGAGUGAUGAAGGCUCUCGGGUCGUAAAGCUCUGUCAGAGGGGAAGAACCUCCUGUCGGUUAAUACCCGGCGGGCCUGACGGUACCCUCAAAGGAAGCACCGGCUAACUCCGUGCCAGCAGCCGCGGUAAUACGGAGGGUGCAAGCGUUGUUCGGAAUUAUUGGGCGUAAAGCGCGUGUAGGCGGUUCGCUAAGUCUGAUGUGAAAGCCCUGGGCUCAACCCAGGAAGUGCAUUGGAAACUGACGAACUUGAGUACGGGAGAGGAAAGUGGAAUUCCGAGUGUAGGGGUGAAAUCCGUAGAUAUUCGGAGGAACACCAGUGGCGAAGGCGGCUUUCUGGACCGAUACUGACGCUGAGACGCGAAAGCGUGGGGAGCGAAACAGGAUUAGAUACCCUGGUAGUCCACGCCGUAAACGAUGGGUACUAGGUGUCGCGGGUAUUGACCCCUGCGGUGCCG